UACGUAGGGACCGAGCGUUGUCCGGAAUCAUUGGGCGUAAAGAGCGUGUAGGCGGCCGCUUAAGUCCUGCGUGAAAUCUUGCGGCUCAACCGCAAGCGGUCGUGGGAAACUGGGUGGCUAGAGUGCGGGAGAGGAGAGUGGAAUUCCUGGUGUAGCGGUGGAAUGCGCAGAUAUCAGGAAGAACACCCGUGGCGAAGGCGGCUCUCUGGAACGCAACUGACGCUGAGACGCGAAAGCGUGGGGAGCAAACAGG
rnacentral:rRNA from 1 species